rnacentral:snRNA from 1 species
AUCGCUUCUCGGCCUUUUGGCUAAGAUCAAGUGUAGUAUCUGUUCUUAUCAGUUUAAUAUCUGAUACGUCCUCUAUCUGAGGACAAUAUAUUAAAUGGAUUUUUGGAGCUGGGAGAUGGAAUAGGGGCUUGCUCCGUUCACUCCACGCAUCGACCUGGUAAUGCAGUACCUCCAGGAAUGGUGCACCCCCU